UACGUAGGGGACAAGCGUUGUCCGGAAUUAUUGGGCGUAAAGCGCGUGUAGGCGGUCCGGUAAGUCCGCUGUGAAAGUCGGGGGCUCAACCCUCGGAUGCCGGUGGAUACUGUCGGGCUUGAGUACGGAAGAGGCGAGUGGAAUUCCUGGUGUAGCGGUGAAAUGCGCAGAUAUCAGGAGGAACACCAAUUGCGAAGGCAGCUCGCUGGGACGUUACUGACGCUGAGACGCGAAAGCGUGGGGAGCAAACAGG
rnacentral:rRNA from 1 species